rnacentral:rRNA from 1 species
AACGAACGCUGGCGGCAUGCCUAACACAUGCAAGUCGAACGAGACCUUCGGGUCUAGUGGCGCACGGGUGCGUAACGCGUGGGAACCUGCACUUAGGUUCGGAAUAACUCCCCGAAAGGGGUGCUAAUACCGGACAAUGUCUUCGGACCAAAGAUUUAUCGCCUCUGGAUGGGCCCGCGUUGGAUUAGCUAGUUGGUAGGGUAAAAGGAUACCAAGGCGAGGAUUCAUAGCUGGUCUGAGAGGAUGAGCAGCCACACUGGGACUGAGACACGGCCCAGACUCCUACGGGAGGCAGGAGAGGGGAAUAUUGCACAAUGGGCGAAGGGCUGAUGCAGCAAGGACGCGUGAGUGAUGAAGGCCUUGGGGUUGUAAAGCUCUUUUACCCGGUAUGAUAAUGACAGUACCGAGAGAAAAAGCUCCGGCUAACUCCGUG